CGAAGGGCAGGGCAGAGCAGGGGAUGAAUUACGAAGAGGUGGGGGUGGGGCAUGGUGGAGAGCGACUGCUUACAGGACAGGACAGGGCGAUCCACAAGAAAGAGGUCAAGUGUUCUUGGAUCUCGAUCUCGAUCGAUGCAAUAGCAGGGCUCCGCAUCGAUUGAUCCUCCUGCAAAUUUAAUUUUAAGAUCAGAAUAUAUACAAGCAAGCUGCUGCUGUUUCGGGAACCAUAAAUGAUGCAUACGAGAGAAAAGGGCCGGAUGAUCGGACAACCGAACCUAUAAUAGGGAGCACGAAAUCUACACUAAUCAAACAAUGAAAGUGAGUAAUUGUGCAAUUCCAAUGUUUGUCGAACCAACAGAAUAGAGUAACAUAUAUAUCAAACUAACAUACCUGAUGUCAAUGGUCAUAACAUCGGAAUUGCUUCGGGGUUGUGGUGGCGGCGGUGGACAGGUAUAAUUUGGAGAAAAUACCUGGGAAAAAAUAUAAGCACGGAUCAUGCAUCAAGCUUCUAACAAUAUAUAUAUAAGCAUCGUGAGAAUGAAAAAUCAAACCUGAUUGCAGAUUUCACAGGUGGUGUCGCCCUUUUUAUUGCACCAUCUCUGAAUACACUUCCUGUGGGCAAACUA